CCUACGGGUGGCAGCAGUGGGGAAUAUUGGGCAAUGGGCGCAAGCCUGACCCAGCAACGCCGCGUGAAGGAAGAAGGCUUUCGGGUUGUAAACUUCUUUUAAGAGGGAAGAGCAGAAGACGGUACCUCUUGAAUAAGCCACGGCUAACUACGUGCCAGCAGCCGCGGUAAUACGUAGGUGGCAAGCGUUGUCCGGAUUUACUGGGUGUAAAGGGCGUGCAGCCGGGAAGACAAGUCAGAUGUGAAAUCCCGCGGCUCAACCGCGGAACUGCAUUGGGAACUACCGGGCUGGAGUGCCGGAGAGGUAGGGGGAAUUCCUAGGGUAGCGGUGAAAUGCGUAGAUAUUAGGAGGAACACCAGUGGCGAAGGCGGCCUACUGGACGGUGACUGGCGCUGAGGCUCGAAAGCGUGGGGAGCAAACAGGAUUAGAUACCCGGGUAGUC
rnacentral:rRNA from 1 species